UCCUGGCUGAGGUGGCAGGCAUCUUGGAACCUGUAGGCCUGCAGGAGGAGGCAGAACUGCCAGCCAAGAUCCUGGUUGAGUUUGUGGUGGUAUGUACAAGAUGAGAGCGAGCCUUUCAGAAGCCAGGGUCUGGUCCUGGCUCCUCUUACUGAGAUACAGGGCAGCACUGGCAGAGAGCAGACUUAAGGAAACCUGUAAGGAGGACAGAAGGCAAUUGCAGCUAAGGAACAAUGGAAAGAGCUGAAGGCCACCUACAGGGAGCACGUAGAGGCCAUCAAAAUUGGCCUCACCAAGGCCCUGACUCAGAUGGAGGAAGCCCAGAGGAAACGGACACAACUCCGGGAAGCCUUUGAGCAGCUCCAGGCCAAGAAACAAAUGGCCAUGGAGAAACGCAGAGCAGUCCAGAACCAGUGGCAGCUACAACAGGAGAAGCAUCUGCAGCAUCUGGCGGAGGUUUCUGCAGAGGUGAGGGAGCGUAAGACAGGGACUCAGCAGGAGCUUGACAGGGUGUUUCAGAAACUUGGAAACCUGAAGCAGCAGGCAGAACAGGAGCGGGACAAGCUGCAGAGGUAUCAGACCUUCCUCCAGCUUCUGUAUACCCUGCAGGGUAAGCUGUUGUUCCCUGAGGCUGAGGCUGAGGCAGAGAAUCUUCCAGAUGAUAAA
rnacentral:lncRNA from 1 species